GAGAUUGAAGGGGAGUUGCCUGAGAAAAAGACUUGUUAUGAAGGAGUAUUUUAUAAUUACUUUAGCAUAGGAAUGGAUGCUCAGGUGGUUUACGGCUUUCAUCAUUUACGUAAUGAGAAACCUUACCUGGCACAAGGACCAAUUUCUAAUAAGCUGAUCUAUUCUGGUUAUAGUUGCGGUCAAGGUUGGUUCUUUACACCUUGUACAAGUGAUCCACGAUUAAGGUGAAAUAUCUUUAAGUUUAAGCAGUUUGUUUUGUUAAGAGGGUUGUUCUGCUUUAUGAUUUGUUGUUUGCUGAUGGAAAUAAUUUAUCAGCAAGUAGGAUUCCACUUUGAUUUAAUUUUAUUCUCUUGUGUUUUUCUCCUUCUAAAAUUACUGGGGCUCAAGGGGUGAAAGCACAAAGCAUAUUUUUAAAUGAUUCUCUCCUGUUGUGGUUGAUAAUUUGUUCAGAGCUGUAGUCAUUAAGAGUAACAAUAUUCUGCCUUGAUCAUAAUCUGUAUUUGCUUACACGUCUUAAUACUUUUUUGGCUCAGGGGAC